GGAAAGAGGUAGUGCCAGAGGAGCUGCAUGUGAGAAACAUCAAGGAGGUACAAAACAGUAGCAAUACAGAACUCUUGCAACGUAAUGACAACAGUUCAGGAUCUGAGCCUCUGACUACUUUUCAAAGAGUGAUGAACUUGCCCAACUAAGGUCACCCAAAGGCUACUGAGGAAACUUCUCUUCUUCCAAGAGGAAGCUGUGAAUUAGUCUAAAUCCUGUUCCACUCUGAAUCCCAUCAUCAGUUUGAGCUUCCCAUAGACUUGUAGAACAACCUGUGUUGGAAGGGAGUCACAAGGAUUGCCAAAGUCCAGCUCCUGGCCCUGCACUCCAAGAAUCCCCCCAUGUGCCUGAGAGCAUUGUCUGGAACCCUGUCAGGCUGGGUGCUGUGACCACUGCCCUGGGGAGCCUGUUCCAGUGCCCAGCCAUCCUCAGGGAAAGAUGAGUGUCUUUUGCCUUGGCUGUGGGUAUUUACUCAUGUUUUUGGCUGGAUCCAAGAUGUCACAAGAGGAUUUCUAGAUUUUUUUU